GUUCCUUCCUCAGGCUCUUUGCACAAGGAGUCUCUUUUGCUUUGAAAGCUCCACUCUGAGAAUGCCUCAAGGUCACCUCUUUCUUACCCUUCAGGCUUCAGUUCAAAUGUCCUUUCUUCAGGUGCUCAAUUUGAGGAUUUCCAACAACCACUAGGCUGGAGUCUGAGAAGCUGCCCUACAAAGAACGAUCUCUCAGCUGGGAUAAGAAGAAUGACAGACUGAGCCAGAUGACUUCGGACAGGAGAAGGAAGGGGACAGUUGGAGGGCUCCCUGUAACAGAAAGGCACGUUCCGGGACCUGGAGGCAGAAAAGAACGUUGUGAUUGGAGGACAUGAAGGACUCAGUGUGGCUACCAGGCAGACUGCAAAGUAGGAAGUGAGAAAAAUGAGACUGGAGAGCUUCCAGCCCACAACUCUGACAAGACCACUAAUAAGAUGUUUCCUGUUGGGAGUGUCAUCGUACUGGAGUCAGGUUCAUCUGGCACUGUUCAAGGAUGGACACAUCAGGGGCAGGAGUGAGCCCCCACCAUGUUUACUCAGCCUUCCCCAAGUCCUUCCUGCUGGGUUCACCAAGGCGCCCACACUCAGGCUUGGCCCUGCUCCUGCUCCUGAGUAUGUGAAAACCAAAGCAAACAGCUGAUCAGCAGCUUUGGCUCACUAUUACAGGGAUCUGCAAUGAAGGUAAGCUUCCCAGACCCUGUGGCAUAGCCACACAACUGGUAUCUGCCUGCCCUCUCUGAUCUCCAACCAGAUUCCAAAUCAGAAGGAGUGUUCAGCCUUAAGGGAAGGACAGACGUCGAGAAUCAGAAGUAGAAUAGGAUGACAGCAUCUGGAUUAGUUUCCUGUGACUGUCGUAACAACAUCCUGGAGUUGGCCCAAUUUGUAAAGCUGCACAUUGACCAAGAUUUUCUCCUCUCUUUGCUUUCUUCCCUGCCAAGUUCACAGUCCCUCUUAAGGUCUGGCUCCUGUCCUGAACCCUAGCCAGUGGCUGGGGCCAGGGCCCCCUUCGAGAGCCCACCUGUUUUUUCUGUAGACGUGGAUCCUAGUUUCUAUGCCCUCCACCUGCUAGCCAGGCUCCUGCCAGGCUCUCUGACUUCUGGGUUCAAACAGCACCUGGGAUCCUUGCCUGCCAUCGAAUGAUGGGAUCUGUAACCAUCGCUCAAGCAGCUAUGUCUUUUGGCGUAGUAGUGGAGCCGCAGUGCAGCUGGCGAGGGCAGCCAGGGAGAUUCCUACCUAUCCGGCUUCAUCAUCCUUUCCCUAAUAUUGAUUUUCUGAGCACCAGUGGACCUCACUCCUCAACCUGCCAAUUCUCUGAACUUGGGCCCAUCUCAUCGCCAGUGGAUCCACUACUUCAUAGUGAUUAAGAACAUGGACUAAGGGUGUAUCCUUUGUCACGACACUUCACCUGAGUAUGUUGCAAUUUCUCCACCUCUGAAGUAGGCAUAAUAACAGAACAUACCUCCCAGGGGUGUUGGGAAGAUGGGAUUUGGUUCUGGCCAUAAAUCAAUUUUCUUUCUUUAUAAGGCAUUAUGCUAAGUGGUCAAUAAAUAGAAGAAUUUCUGGUGAUCUCUCCAAAUCAUAAGCAGGACUUGACGUUAUUUGUUGUCUGUCAAAAACUUCAAUCCUGGGCCAGUCCUGGUGGCCUAGUGGUUAAGUUUGGCACACUCCACUUUGGUGGCCCAGGUUUGGUUCCUAGGCACAGACCUACACCACUUGUCUGUCAGUGGCCAUGCUGUGGCAGCAGCUCACAUUCAAAACAGGAAGAUUGCCAGUGAAUGUUAGCUCAGG
rnacentral:lncRNA from 1 species